rnacentral:misc_RNA from 1 species
UCCGUGUUCACCACGGCAGUCUCCUUAGAGUGCCCAACUGAAUGCUGGCAACUAAGGACAAGGGUUGCGCUCGUUGCGGGACUUAACCCAACAUGUCACCACACGAGCUGACGACAGCCAUGCAGCACCUGUCUCUCUGUUGUAUUGCUACAAAAGACGUAUCUCUACGUUUGUCAGAGGAUGUCAAAUCCAGGUAAGGUUCUUCGCGUUGCUUCGAAUUAAACCACAUGAUCCACCGCUUGUGCGGGCCCCCGUCAAUUCCUUUGAGUUUUAGUCUUGCGACCGUACUUCCCAGGCGGGGUACUUAUUGCGUUAGCUCCGGUUCAGCAGGGGUCAAGACCCGCCAAACCUAGUACCCAUCGUUUACAGCGUGGACUAC